rnacentral:rRNA from 1 species
GUCGACGGUGAAGCCAAGCUUGCUUGGUGGAUCAGUGGCGAACGGGUGAGUAACACGUGAGCAACCUGCCCUGGACUCUGGGAUAAGCGCUGGAAACGGCGUCUAAUACUGGAUAUGAGCUCCUUCCGCAUGGUGGGGGUUGGAAAGAUUUUUCGGUCUGGGAUGGGCUCGCGGCCUAUCAGCUUGUUGGUGAGGUAAUGGCUCACCAAGGCGUCGACGGGUAGCCGGCCUGAGAGGGUGACCGGCCACACUGGGACUGAGACACGGCCCAGACUCCUACGGGAGGCAGCAGUGGGGAAUAUUGCACAAUGGGCGGAAGCCUGAUGCAGCAACGCCGCGUGAGGGAUGACGGCCUUCGGGUUGUAAACCUCUUUUAGCAGGGAAGAAGCGAAAGUGACGGUACCUGCAGAAAAAGCGCCGGCUAACUACGUGCCAGCAGCCGCGGUAAUACGUAGGGCGCAAGCGUUAUCCGGAAUUAUUGGGCGUAAAGAGCUCGUAGGCGGUUUGUCGCGUCUGCUGUGAAAUCCCGAGGCUCAACCUCGGGCCUGCAGUGGGUACGGGCAGACUAGAGUGCGGUAGGGGAGAUUGGAAUUCCUGGUGUAGCGGUGGAAUGCGCAGAUAUCAGGAGGAACACCGAUGGCGAAGGCAGAUCUCUGGGCCGUAACUGACGCUGAGGAGCGAAAGGGUGGGGAGCAAACAGGCUUAGAUACCCUGGUAGUCCACCCCGUAAACGUUGGGAACUAGUUGUGGGGACCAUUCCACGGUUUCCGUGACGCAGCUAACGCAUUAAGUUCCCCGCCUGGGGAGUACGGCCGCAAGGCUAAAACUCAAAGGAAUUGACGGGGACCCGCACAAGCGGCGGAGCAUGCGGAUUAAUUCGAUGCAACGCGAAGAACCUUACCAAGGCUUGACAUAUACGAGAACGGGCCAGAAAUGGUCAACUCUUUGGACACUCGUAAACAGGUGGUGCAUGGUUGUCGUCAGCUCGUGUCCUGAGAUGUUGGGGUUAAGUCCCCGCAACGAGCGCAACCCUUCGUUCUAUGUUGGCAGCCACGUAAU